GUGAGUAUAGCUCAGUGGUAGAGAGUGUGCAUACCAUGCACAGGGUUCUGGGUUCAAUCCCCAGUACCUCUA
rnacentral:tRNA from 1 species